rnacentral:rRNA from 1 species
CAAAUUUGAAAGCUGGCUCCUUCGGGGUCCGCAUUGUAAUUUGCAGAGGAUGCUUUCGGGAGUGGCCCCCAUCUAAGUGCCCUGGAACGGGCCGUCAUAGAGGGUGAGAAUCCCGUCUGGGAUGGGGUGUCCACGCCCGUGUGAAGCUCCUUCGACGAGUCGAGUUGUUUGGGAAUGCAGCUCUAAAUGGGUGGUAAAUUUCAUCUAAAGCUAAAUACUGGCCGGAGACCGAUAGCGCACAAGUAGAGUGAUCGAAAGAUGAAAAGCACUUUGAAAAGAGAGUUAAACAGCACGUGAAAUUGUUGAAAGGGAAGCGCUUGCGACCAGACUCGCCCACGGGGUUCAGCCGGCAUUCGUGCCGGUGUACUUCCCCGCGGGCGGGCCAGCGUCGGUUUGGGCGGCCGGUCAAAGGCCCUCGGAAUGUAACGCCCCCCGGGGCGUCUUAUAGCCGAGGGUGCCAUGCGGCCAGCCCGGACCGAGGAACGCGCUUCGGCUCGGACGCUGGCAUAAUGGUCGUAAGCGACCCGUCUUGAAACACGGACCA